UACGGAGGGAGCUAGCGUUAUUCGGAAUUACUGGGCGUAAAGCGCACGUAGGCGGCUUUGUAAGUAAGAGGUGAAAGCCUGGAGCUCAACUCCAGAAUUGCCUUUUAGACUGCAGCGCUUGAAUCAUGGAGAGGUGAGUGGAAUUCCGAGUGUAGAGGUGAAAUUCGUAGAUAUUCGGAAGAACACCAGUGGCGAAGGCGGCUCACUGGACAUGUAUUGACGCUGAGGUGCGAAAGCGUGGGGAGCAAACAGG
rnacentral:rRNA from 1 species